rfam:Picea glauca, whole genome shotgun sequence.
UGUCUAGAGUAUAAUGUUAAUGCACUGGAUCCCAUUACAGCUAUACAGUUAAGCAUACUAAGGUUGGAGUAGUACUAGGAUGGGUGACCGCCCGAGAAGUCCUGGUGUUUUACAUGC